UAUUGAAAGCGUCUUAGAAGUGAGCGACCAAGAUUUCUUCUCUCUUAGACUUAUUGGAAGAGGAGCUUUCGGAGAAGUUUUUUGCAUGCAGAAGAAAGAUAGUGGCCAUCUAUACGCAGUAAAGUCUUUAGACAAACGACAUCUAAAAAAAACAAGAAAAGAAACAGUGGCAAUAAAUGAGAGAUUAAUUUUAGAAAAGUGCAAAAGUCCCUUUAUUGUGAGACUUGCGUACGCCUUUCAAAAUGAAAAUUUCUUGUUUCUAGCGAUGACUAUGAUGGACGGCGGUGAUCUUCGUUACCAUCUGAACUUAUCAAGAAGAUUCAGCGAAA